GUGCCAGCAGCCGCGGUAAUACGUAGGUGGCAAGCGCUGUCCGGAUUUAUUGGGCGUAAAGCGAGCGCAGGCGGUUUCUUAAGUCUGAUGUGAAAGCCUUCGGCUCAACCGAAGAAGUGCAUCGGAAACUGGGAAACUUGAGUGCAGAAGAGGACAGUGGAACUCCAUGUGUAGCGGUGAAAUGCGUAGAUAUAUGGAAGAACACCAGUGGCGAAGGCGGCUGUCUGGUCUGUAACUGACGCUGAGGCUCGAAAGCAUGGGUAGCAAACAGGAUUAGAUACCCUGGUAGUCCAUGCCGUAAACGAUGAGUGCUAGGUGUUGGAGGGUUUCCGCCCUUCAGUGCCGCAGCUAACGCAUUAAGCACUCCGCCUGGGGAGUACAACCGCAAGGUUGAAACUCAAAGGAAUUGACGGGGGCCCGCACAAGCGGUGGAGCAUGUGGUUUAAUUCGAAGCAACGCGAAGAACCUUACCAGGUCUUGACAUCCUUUGACCACUCUAGAGAUAGAGCUUUCCCUUCGGGGACAAAGUGACAGGUGGUGCAUGGUUGUCGUCAGCUCGUGUCGUGAGAUGUUGGGUUAAGUCCCGCAACGAGCGCAACCCUUAUUACUAGUUGCCAGCAUUUAGUUGGGCACUCUAGUGAGACUGCCGGUGACAAACCGGAGGAAGGUGGGGACGACGUCAAAUCAUCAUGCCCCUUAUGACCUGGGCUACACACGUGCUACAAUGGAUGGUACAACGAGUUGCGAGACCGCGAGGUUUAGUUAAUCUCUUAAAACCAUUCUCAGUUCGGAUUGUAGGCUGCAACUCGCCUACAUGAAGCCGGAAUCGCUAGUAAUCGCGGAUCAGCAUCCCGCGGUGAAUACGUUCCCGGGCCUUGUACACACCGCCCGU
rnacentral:rRNA from 1 species